AAUGAACGCUGGCGGCGUGCUUAACACAUGCAAGUCGCACGAGAACGCUUCAGCUUGCUGGAGCUAGUAAAGUGGCGCACGGGUGAGUAACGCGUGGGUAAUCUACCUCCGAAUUGGGGAUAACACUGCGAAAGCGGUGCUAAUACCGAAUGAUAUCUCCGGAACCUUGGUUGCGGGGAUCAAAGGUGGCCUCUACAUGUAAGCUACCGUUUGGAGAUGAGCCCGCGUACCAUUAGCUAGUUGGUAGGGUAAUGGCCUACCAAGGCUGCGAUGGUUAGCUGGUCUGAGAGGAUGAUCAGCCACACUGGAACUGACACACGGUCCAGACACCUACGGGUGCUG
rnacentral:rRNA from 1 species